UGCUUGGCAACGAGAUGCUAAAGGUACAGGAUUGGCUGCCAAGGUCUAGUUGGAGCAGAAAAGAUGAUGAGGGAAGGUGGGAAAAUAGAGAAACACCCCGGGGGAACACAAAGGCACAGGAGAGAAGCAGAAGACAGGACCAGAAUGAAGAGAAUGUAAAUACAGAAGCAAGAAGAGAGAGCCCGUGACCUCCCUAGGGCUGGGUCACCAUUUGUGUAUUUGCUAAAAUGCCCUCCUAGAAACAACGGCAAAACAAACAAGUAUGGAUGGAAUGGAAAGAACCCAAAGACUCCUCAGAUGCCCAAAGACCUGACUUCCAUCCAGAUUAAUGAACCCACUGUCUAUGAAGCCCAAGCAAACCAUGAACUGGAGCCAGUUGCUCAUCUGUUGAGAGGAUGCCACUCUCUCCCUCACAGCAGUGAAGAGGAGCUUAUUCAAGAACAUUGAUGAGAUGGAGUAUUACUCAGUGGUAAAAAACAAUGAUAUCAUGAAAUUUGUAGGCAAAUGGAUGGAACUAGAAAAAAAAAAUCAUCCUGAGUGAGGUAACCCAGAUCCAGAAAGACAAACAUGGAAAGGACAGGAAGAAAAGCUCUUGGGAUUGUAGCAUCAAGAGAGACUUAGGAUGACUAUGGAAGGCAGCCUUGAUGGCGAAUGUGUGAAUGUUCCUUGGAACCACCUGGCUUGGUCUUCGUCUUGGACACAUGGAUGGUUUGGAACUGAAGGCAGGAAGAAGCAGAAAAUAUGUCUCAGAGGUGGAGCCAGCAAGGAGAUGCACCGGCUGCCUCCACCUGGAUGCUGUCUCUGUGGGAACCUUCCUCUGCCCCAGCCUGGGUGCCUUCCUGGUCAGGGGUCAUUCCAAGUACAAAGGCUUUGAGAAAGGACUGUCCCAGGGAGCCCUAAUGAAUGAGGGGAACACAGAAGAGCCAACAGCUUAAGACCCUUCCCCUGAGGGCAGAUCAUCUGGCCUGAGCUGCUCCUUUGGAUCCAGGCCCAGAACUUGGCCUGUAACUUUAAAAUUCAGUCCCUAUUUUGAGCGCGCAGCAAGCACCUCAUAACAAACAGCUGGAAAGAGAAGUU